GGGCUGUCCGGGCCCGUUGGCCAUCUGAUUCGGAAACUCGGAAUCAAUCCUCAAUCUCCGUUCCCAUCGUCCCAUGGCAGACACCCGUCCCUCCUGCUCCACGUCCCAGGGUUCACCGUUCACCCAUGGCGGGGACCUGUUCUCAAAAAAAAAAAAACCCAUGGCGGGGACCUCCUCGGCUCCUCUCCGCCGCCGCCGAGACCUCCGACACCAUGUGGCCUCCCUCUUGUCCCCGUCGCUGUUCGCCCGGAGCUUCUGGUUGCCAAUGGUCGGUCGACACAUGCAGAUUCAGAUGCAGUGCAGGGAGCAGAGCCCGCCGCUGAGCCUCAGAGGAGGAACCACGCGGAUGGAGGACCGGACGGCCGGAGCCCUGGAUGCCGCAGCGCGCUGUGAGUUUCCAAAAUUUCAGCAUUAGGAUUUCAACUGAUUUUUAGUUGAAUUGGAAGCAUACAGUACUGUCCGUUGGAAGCAGAGCUAGUCCGUUCUGACAGUCUCACCAAUUAUUUGGUCAUGAAUCAUGACUACAAAUUUGAUACAUAAUGUCUGCUUCCAAUCCAUCAAGUCGCACACCAAAUGGAAGCAGAGCUAGUCCGUUCUGCGGACUCACUAGUCAGGGGUCCAUGGCAGUUGCUGAUUUUGGACUUGCUCAAGUAGCUAGUAGCUGCAACCUUAAUUACUGUUUGUUUCAAAUCUGACAUGUCCUGGUUGAUAAGAUCGAUCACACUGAAUGGAACUAAGGAGUAGGCACAUGUUUGAGACUCUAUUUAACUACCUAAUCCCCCCGAUUCCUUCCAAAUUUUGUAUUGAGAAGCUACCAAAUGAUGUGUUGGUAUUUGAGAUGCAGGCACGUACAGUCACAUGCUCAUGGUUUCAUCAAUGCUUGAUUCCUUGCUGUCACCUGUCUAUUUGAUUUCCAGUUUAUUUCUCCUUCUGUCUUCUUGCUGGAGGUAUUUAGGUACACUCCUCAUCUUGUGCUUAAGAGGCUAUGGCUGCUUCAGCGUGGAAGUCAAUUGCAUGCUCACUCUAAAUUGUGCUAGCUUGCUCUGUACUUACCCUCUAGCUACUAGCGAUCAAAGUUGGAAGGUGCCAUGCCUGUUUUGUGAUCUUCUAGCUCAGUGGUUGAUUUGGGUGCGCCACAAUGGCUGGAUGGCCCAUAGACCUUUGGAAUGAAUGGGCAAUUCAGAUCCUGGUGCUCUUGAGCUUCAUGCUGCAGGUUGUCCUCUUCGUCUUCGCCGGCAUCCGCAGGCGUGAAGCGUCCCCUGUGCUGAGACUCCUGCUCUGGCUGGCAUACCAGCUGGCUGACUCCACUGCCAUAUAUGCUCUGGGCCUCCUCUCCCUCAACAGCUUUCCGCGUGAGCACCAGCUGGUUCCCUUUUGGGCGCCAUUCCUCCUGCUGCACCUUGGAGGCCCAGAUAACAUCACUGCCUACUCCCUCGAGGACAGCAAGCUCUGGAAGCGCCAUCUACUGACUGUCUUUGUGCAGGUCCUCGGAGCCGCCUAUGUGCUCUACAAACAUAUUGCUGGCAGAGGGAACUUGGUCCUGGCAGCCAUUUUCAUGUUCGUAGUCGGGGUUGUCAAGUAUGCAGAGAGGAUAUGGGCACUCAGGUGCAGCACCAUGGAUAGCAUAAGGAGCUCACUCAACAAUUCACGCGGCCGCAAUGAUCAUUAUACUAUUCCUAAUGGUGUCAAAGGGAAGUUCCAUGAACAAGUUCUUCUGGAACUUGCUCACUCCCUUUUCCAUUUCUGCAAGCUUAAACUGGUUGAUUCCUCAGUCAAUAUGGAUCAUCCUAACCUCGUUCGUUCACGUCUUGAUUGGAGUGAUAUUUGGAAGUUGAUUGAGAUGGAGCUAUCUCUGCUAUAUGACAUAUUGUACACCAAGGCAGCCGUGGUCCACACCUGGUAUGGCUACUGCAUCCGUUUCAUGACGCCCUUUGCCACUGCCGGGGCAUUGUUGCUGUUUCACUUUAGCAAUGGCUUAGGUGGUCUCAGUGGAGUUGAUGUUGCUAUAACUUAUGCCUUGUUGGGUGGUGCCCUGUUCAUGGAGGUGACAGCGCUGUUAGGCGCAAUUGGAUCGACAUGGACACUUGCCUUUUUGUGUGCUUUGCCCAUGCGAUGCAGCUGGCUCCGACAUGCCCUUGUCUGCAGUGGAAGAUGGCAUCGGCUUCGUCGCCUGCUUCUAACUCUCAGCCGGCUGGACAUAAGAACAAGAAGGAGGUGGUCAGGUACCAUUGGGCAGUAUAACCUGCUGCAUCUGUGUGCUUGUGGCAGUAGUGAUCCACUCAGAAGAUUGGCAGAGAUACUUGGGCUCAAGGAGAGGUGGAACAAGUUACACUACUCAAGGACCCUCGUGGUUUCAGAGGUUGUCAAGAAGUUGGUGUUCAAUCGACAUGGUACGCUAGUGUCGAGAUCGAGCCACGUGAACGCACUGGGCCUGCUCAGGGCAAAGUGGGGAAAGUGGGCACUGGCCAAAAACGAACUCUACGAUGAAGUUUUUAAAGAUUGUGACCACCUCCUUGGCGUCGAACUCCAGGAGGGCAUCCUUAUAUGGCACAUCGCCACUGACGUCUUCCUUGCCAACAGAGAAAACAAAGAAGAUACUGCUGCAGCGCAUGAUGUCGUGGCUGCGAUCAAGGCACUGUCCAAUUACAUGAUGUUCCUCCUUGUGAGACGCCCGGACUUGCUACCUGGCCUUGUCCUGAACAGGAUUUAUCAGCUAACCUGUGAGAAUUUGGUCGAAAUAUGGCACGGCUCCCUUCAGAGGGAGAAACUCGCCGUUAUCCUGUACCGGGAGAAAAAAACUUUAGAUUUCAACAGCAGCGAACUUCGUGUGCGAUAUGGAGUUGAGGUUGCUGAGAAACUGAUCCAACAGGAGAAGGCAGGGCCGACCGACAUAUUGGGUGUGCUUCUUGAUGUGUGGAUGGAUUUUCUAUCAUAUGCCGCCAACAGAUGCAGCAGGGAGUCCUACGUUAAUAGGCUCAACAAUGGCGGCGAGUUGAUAGCUAUCCUCUGGCUCAUGGCAGCACACUUUGAACCGCAAAAUCGAGCCUCGUCGCGAUGAUGAUUAAUCUGUAUCCUUUGCUACUAUGUUCACCGACUUCCCAAUAACAUGUUAUUCUAUUAUACUUGAUUGAUAACUGAACAUGCAUUUGCAAUAUAUAUUCUGUGGAAAUGUACUCCUGAUCACGGUGAGUCUGAUUAUUGGAUGAUAUACUAGUCAGACUUCACAUGUAAUAUAUCUAGCAGUACAAUUGUACCACCAAGAAUGAAGUUUGAGAAAAAUAAUACAAAUUGAAGUGGCAAGGACGAUAUCCUAGCUAGAUUUACAGCUCAUCCCUCUCCUCUCCUUCUGUGUGCUUCUUACCCCUCUUGAUCCCCCAAGAAGGAUGGAUUACAAAUUAUAAUGCACCUGUUCCUUGUCUUGAUCACCCGAGAUAGUGAAAUGAAACUAGUUAGUUGUAGUUCCCAUGAUCAUGCACUGUGUGGACUAAUUAAACAGACGUGGGAGGAAAUUAAUAUGACAAACUAUGUAUAUGGACUAAUGGACAGAGGAGCCAUGAUAUAGACUCUGACAUGACGAGCAGUUGUGUACUUGUGUUAAUUUACAUCCAGAUUUAGACUGAUGGAUGGCAUGCUGGUAAGUGUUGGGACAUCAUAUCGCUCGCUCUGGCAGUGUCCUCAUCUGCUAACUGGCGCCCUUGCUGACUGCAAUUCCCCUCUUGUUAGCUCGGCAUCGCCGAACCAUCCUCCAUAUCUAUACUACCGUGUUGUGCAAUUAUCAGCAUUCAUAAAUGAUCAAAGUUAGCUUGUUCAGGUUGUCCGAGUGCCAUGUCGCUCCGAGCAGGUAUUCCCAUGUGUCUUUGAACCUUGCCAUCGCCUUUAGCACGAUGGUUGUGGUUGCGAAGCGUCUCCUGUUGAACUCUACUUUGGAGUCUGAGAGGUUCAUCUCCUCCUUCUCCGACAGGUAAGUUGUGAGAAGAGAACUGGGAAACCAAGAGAGAAGAGGGUAUCCUGCAUUACUCAUUAAGCAACACUCAUAGUAGUAGACUAGUAGUUGUCAAGUCUUUGUUGAUAUUCAUGUGGACAGGGAAAGAACGAAAUGGAUGCAAAAUCUAUCCACAGUUACGACGUGGACUGAACUGAACCAAUUUUCUCAUCUCCAAAAGUGCAAUCAAUAUUUCUUCUGGCUGCCCAUCAGAAGAAGGCGGAGCAGAGCAAGUGAACAACCCUGGGCGGCGCCCCCGUCGUCAGGGAGGAGGAGGAAGGCGGCAAGCGAUCGUUCAACGCGGUGCCACUGGCCGGCGUGCGCGUGGACGUCGCCGAGCGCGGCCGCGCCCUCUGCUCGAUGCGCAUCCCCGCCCAACCUCACGACCAUGUAGACCAGCAAGAAAGCCAAGUCGGAAGCUUUUGGGACCCUUUUUAGCUAGUACAGAAGAAGACAAGGAAGCUAUGUGAUCUAUUGCAAAUAGUUGCCAGCAGGUUCCAAUUAAUAUACUCUCAGAAACUUCUCUUUGUGUCCAUGAGAACUAUGGCAUUACACAACUAUAAUAUAGACACAGUACUAGGUUUACAGUGAUCCAAGUUGCAUCGCCAGGAUGAGAUUAAAGUAAAUGCAAAUUAGUAAUGGGACUGACUAUAGCUCAGUCGAUUUCUCAGUCAAACAGGCAAUCAAUGGGUUUGUGUCCUCUAAUUGGUACGGUGUUGGUUCUAUUUAUUUAUUUUUGUCUCAA